rnacentral:rRNA from 1 species
ACAGUCAUCCUACGGGGGCAGCAGUGGGGAAUAUUGCACAAUGGGGGAAACCCUGAUGCAGCGACGCCGCGUGAAGGAAGAAGUAUCUCGGUAUGUAAACUUCUAUCAGCAGGGAAGAUAGUGACGGUACCUGACUAAGAAGCCCCGGCUAACUACGUGCC